UUUGUUUGAUUGAUCGGUGAAUUUUUUUGAUAAUGAACACGAAAUGAUUGUUACAGUUUCUCUAGAAUUG
rnacentral:tRNA from 1 species